GUCCUUGGUCUGGUGCUCCAGGCUUCCUCUUGCCGCCGGCCGCACGCGACCUAUGGCCACCACGCCUCAUCGAUCUAGGCCUGAAUCACCUAGGUCAUGAUACCACUUGUUAGAAUAAAUCCGAGGCAUACCGUCGAUCAUCCGAGGACCAAGCAAUCACACGAGCACGACACCGAGAUGUGUUAACGAGGUUCACCGAUAUGGCUACAUCCCCGGGGCCUGACUAUGGGCGCUCCUCCCCAUUACACCGCUACAAUACCGCACCAGGUCGCCCUGGACGCUGGCACAUGCCGCCGGCUUCCCCUGCGCUCCUGUGUUAUUAUGUUGGCAUAGCUUACGUCGUGUGUCUACCCUCACUACAUAUGAGAGGCCUAGGAUACAAGUUUUCUAUUAGGACACGACUCCAUAUCCUAUCUAAACACAAUACUACUAUAAGUCCAAUUUUAACCUAUCUUGUACGCAAUAUUCGACACAACUCUAAUAGAAUUGCUCAUCAUUAAGUCCUGGAAUGCAAUGUAGCACCUUCACAACAAUCACCUCUCCAUUUGUAUGCUCUCCCUAUUCAACGUAUCAAUCCAUAUAUGGUUUGAAGUUCUCUUUGAAGCAAUAUAUGCAACACAUUUAGGAAGAAAAUUUGUGCAUACUCAUGUUUAUUUACGUGGGGACCCAUAUCCUACUGCUAUAUAUUGUUGUUUGUCAGAAUAUAGUUCAUCAGUGUACGAUAAAGCAUGCAAGAAUGUCAUGAAGAAGAUCAAUAGAGAAAUAAGAGCUACAUGAAACCACUAACAUGUGUGGUCACCUCUACCCAAAGAACACCCUUGUAAUAUGAGACUCCCAAUGGUUUCUUGAUCUACUAGAUCAUGUUCAUGAGAUGACUAGAAUUAGGCUUCUCUUCUCGCCUCUUUUCGCAUGCAAGGCAUCUGCCUAAUAAUGGUGUACACGGUGAUGUUUGAAAUUGCCUAGAGCAUGUGUGUGGUUAUUGAUGUCUGAACACGAUGUAUCUUCUGUCUUGGAUUCUUUGGCGUGUGCCUGAAUUAAUAAGCAUGUGGCUGUGCCAGAGUCUGAAUACUAGAUAAAAUUGUAGUAUAGUGAAUAAUGACUUAUUCACGAUACGAUGUUUGGUGUGCGAGUUAAUUCACAAGUGUGUCAUCUACCUUGUCUAAUUAUAAGAAACUGUAACCAGAAACCAUGCAUGGGUCUUUCGCCGUACCUUGUAUACAUUUCCAUAUGAGCUCAUGCCAAAGAGAAACCAUUCAUAAUUUCUUCUAAUAACUGGAAUAACAUAAGCUUUGGUGCCGCACUUACAUUGUCCAUGUUAUUGCUUUCUCCCAUGGAAAACUGAACACAAAUGUGUGUUUUUUUUUUUUUGCGAAAGGAACACAAAUGGUUACCAGAAGCAAACUAUGUGUCUAUAUUUUAUAGGUAGAACAGGCAAUAGAGAUUUAUGGUCGAUUUAACUGCUUCUUUUCUUGUUGACCUCUAUCAAAUGUCCAGUUGAGUUUGCACGAAAUCUGAUAGAUCUGAUCCAUGUAUCAAGACGCAACAGCAGGUAUGACACAAGGUUAUUUUUGAGGAAGUAAACUUAAAUCAGUAGUUACUGGAUCUUCGACAGUGGAAAAAAAGGGAGUGAAUACCUACUUGAGACCUGGCCGUGUACGCAGGCGGUCCACAUGUCCACCACAAACUGUUACUGCUAUGCGGAGGUCCAGCUAAUGGUCACGGAAACAAUCAAACCCUGCAUCAAGCAACAAAGAUGCAAAAUAUAGUGUUAGAUCGAUGUGGACCAAAAUUAGAGCUGAACAUAGUUCAUAUUUGAAAUCAAAGCGAAGGAAAUUCAAGACUAAAUAUACGCCGAGAAUGAAAUUAAAAUGAGUUACUAGUUCACAAGAACAGAACAUAAAGGUAGCUAGACAUGUACUCCCUCCGGCCCAUAAUAUAACAACAUUUUUCAAUCUAUAGCGUUCUUAUAUUAUGAGAUGGAGGGAGUUGUAGAUGUCAAGACAUGUUUGAAAGAGGAGCAGAGAACAGAGCAAAAUGACCAGUGUGAGCAAGAGCAGAGUACAUAGGAGCUUGCACAUACCUGUUAGCAAUCGAUCCAGCACUCAGGUUG
rnacentral:lncRNA from 1 species